GUCACCACUGUAGUUGCAUAGCACGAGCUUGAAAAACAACAUAAUGUAGUGGAGGAUAACAAAAGUAAUUAGCGUGGCUACAUGAUCCAGCGGCUGAUACAGGGUGCGCAGGACAUCGAUCAGCCGCGCCUUGAGACGACAAUAAAUGAUUGCCUGCCACACAGGCCGGAGGACGCCACGGAGGGACGCAACACAAACAUUCACCUUAAGUCCCCGAUGAUGGACAUUCGAUUAACUCCCUCCAAGAGGGACCUGUUUACUCGCUGUCCUCAUCUGUGUUUAGACAAAUAUAAGUUUACCAAGACGGAGGUUAUUAACGUCCUGCCCGUGUUUCUUUUAAACUGUUUGCAGAAGUAAGUAUAUGUUUCGGAAAGCGGAAAUUCCACACACGCUUUCCUAGAAGUAUUCGUAUUGAUCAAUGAACCAGACUCACUAAAAUUCGUACCUAUAGGAAAUGAAACUAUCACAUUCUUUAAUUUAUCGUCAAAGAAUUUCAUUUCACACGCUAUUCCCAUUUAAAAAUAAACCUACAUCUCCAAUUAUAGAGUUGAAAAUCGUGUUGAUCUUGUUCAAGAUAUUGCUGAGAUAAAGAUUAGAUUAUCUGAGUCGGUUUAUCCGUUGGUCGGUUGCCAGUUUGCUGGGAACUGCCGAGAGAACAACUGCUGGUCGCAGACUCUUGUCUGCACUCACAGAUACUAUGUCCAACAGCAGCAUAGUUCUCCUGCUGCUAGUUCUAGUGGCUGGCUCAUCAUCAGCUCCAGCCAUGCGUCUCCUGAGCACCAUGGUGACAGGAGUCACCACCGGGUUGGAGAUACCCACCGAGGCCACAGCUGGGACCGGCGUGGGCACCGGCAGUGUCCAACUUGUGAUCAAUGUGCACACGGAUAGUAACGGAAAUAUUGAAGUGUUUACUAACUAGUGGCAAUUGGAAGGUUUUACUUCAUAAAGUGGUUUGUGUAUGUGUGUCGCUGUAAAUAUUCGGAUAUAAGUGUUAUUCUAAGUGUGUGAGUAAGAUAAAAUUUCGUACAUAAGGCCUUAAACGAUAAGUAGAAUACAAGGAAACUAUACUUUAUUUAAGUUUAAAAUAAGACUUAUUAUCGAAUGUACCAACCAUCCCUACACCAUCUUUUAACUAUAAGUUACUUAGUGUGAUGUAGCAAGCUAAACUAACCCCAUACUUGUACUGUUAGGUGUCACUUAUAGGCUAAUGAAAAUCAACAUGAUGUUAAAAAACCACCUAUCUUAGGUAUCUUAGGUCAGCAGUUUCUUAAGAUUUAGGAGAAAUUGAUUAAAACAGGCGUUGGACACCAACUUAGUUCAUAUUGAGUAACAAAUUAUAAAAUUAUAUUACCUACUUUAGAAGAAAGUAUAAGUGUAGCCAGGAACUACAAUGUACGUCAAUUUGGAGAUAAUGGAGAUAAAAGGAAUGAAAACGUGUGAACGGUAGAUAUGAUACCAGAUAAGACUAUCGACAAUCAUACACUCGGACAGCUCUAUGUAUUUACGAUACUGUAUAUGUACUAAAAACCUAUAUAUUAUACUCGUAAAUAAGUUAUCCUUGCGUCGCGGUUGAAGCGACGUGUAGCGGGUUCGAUUGCACGAAGCGAAGCAACUCUUUGUGUGAUAUACAAAUUGUUGUUUCGGGUCUGGGUGUCAUGUGUAUGUGGACUUGUAAGUUUGUAAACGCACCCACGACACAUAACCAAAUUCUAGUGUAAGGCAACGUUUAGAAAAAAACUUGUCGAUAAAUAUUGUUAAUAGAAAAUAUAUCAAUUAUGUUUGUUAGAAAAUUGUGACUCUCAUUGGUAAAGCGCUCUAAAGCGCGACUGCCGAGGAAGUAUUCUAGUGUACGAUCAAUUCCCGGGAAGUGCAAAGAUUGAAAAUGAAACAUUUAAAAGCAGAGUAAAGAAACUAAAGAUGCAUCAAUUUAAAUUUCAAAUUAACGAAGAUAUUUAAGUUAUUAAGAAUAGUUAAGAUAUUUGAGCGAGCAAGCAGUGUAGAGGUUUAAGUAAAACGGUAACAUUAUGCAAACUGAAGGAAUUCUGCUCAAAGGAAUAGCAGGGAAACAAGAUACAGCGACUGAAAUUUGAGAACAUCAAAUAAGAUAAUAUUUGAGUUCAGGAAUCCGGCGUCUAAAUAAAUAUUCAAGUGUUUCGCUAAAAGAUAUCGUUUUAUCUUGUUGAUAAGGUUGUUAAUACGCUGGCUUACUUUUCUUGCUUUCUUUUGAGCCAUACGUUUGUAGACAUGGGAGUGUGAUCAAUUUUUUUUAAAUAUUUGUUUGAUAAUAUGUAAUGUUUCGUUUGAUUUGAGUAAGGAAUAUGAUGCACAGAUGUAAUGUGCAUAGAUGCACAAUUGUAUUUCAUGAUGCAUAUAGGUUACACAAGUAAUUAUACUGUGUGUAAAAGAAACGCUCCCAAACGCCGCAAACACAUAAUGGUAAAAAGCAAAAAAAAAAGGAAUUCAAUGUUUAUUUUAUGUAAUAAUAGUUUGUAUCCAACUGCAUAAGGCUGAUAUUACAUGAAUAAAACGAAAACAAAAAUGAUAAAAUUUAUAAAAACAAAAAGAUAGCUUUUUUCAGGGGUGUUCCUUUUACACCCUGUAUAAAUAACAUAAACAAUGUUCCAUAGUUAUGAGAUUAUCUGUAUCUGUAACUAAAAGUAAAAAUGUUUAAUAUACUUUACUAUUAAAUUAUGCUCGGGAAUUGAAGUGUGGCAAUAAUCUACGUAACCAACAAAACAGUUUUUUAGUUAAACCUAUAACAAUAAAAAUGCAAUAUAAAGUAGAUAAUCUGUAAAUGUUACGAAUUGGAAACGAACCUGUUAUUGCUACACAAGAAAGCUGAAGUUGAUAUUGUAAUAUACUAACUACCGAAAGUCUAACUAAGGCCUGCUACUCUUCUUAAAGAGAGAAGAAAUAGCAUGGUUACAUGGAGAACAUAAUUGUAAUAGUUUCUAAACCUUACUGUAUUUUGGUAUUUGAUAGAAUAUUUUUCUACUAUUACUUGACGUAUGACGGGGUAUGAAAAUUAAAAAUCUAUUUCGUCCGUCAGUUAGGUAAUGAAAAGAUAUUAGACACGUAUUUUUCAUUAUGUCAUAUAAGAUAACAAUACUUAGAUAAAACGCAUCAAAGUUUUGGAGUGGGAGCAAAUACGUCAUUUCUACGUAUAAAAUGUACUUGGAAGUGAUGUCACGCGAUAUUUCAAAUCGAUAUAUCAAAGAAAGUUAUUGUUUAAUAAUAUUUUAAAAUGAUCUACAAGACGGACAUUAAUAUAUAAAAAUUAAUAAACUACCUUAUUGCGUAUAUUAAAAUAUAUGAAUAUACAUUUUAGUUUGUCAGUUUGUUUGUGUUCGAACUGAAGACGGCAUAAUUGGGACGUACACAUAAAUAUAUAUUCUAUCAAAUACCGAAACCGUUUGACUAAAGUUUAAUGGAGUGCAAUCUGGUUUCAAGCUCAGUUCGCAAAAUGGCGAAUUUUGUAUUGGAAACUGAUGGCAAUGUGUGUUUUUUUAAACUGGUUCGUUUGUACCGAAAUUGUCUACAAACUACUUGAUUGACGCGUUUAAAAAUAGGUUUAAAUGGAAAUUCCAAACAAUUUUGUAAAUUAUUCGUUUCGUAUGACAAGGACGCACAUAUGAAAUGUAUAAUUUCGGAAAUUUGUUUAAUUUACUGAUAUAAUGUGAGACUACCUCGUUGGUCGAGUCGUAAGUGUGACUGCCAGACAAGGAGUUUCGGGUUCGAUACACGGGUCAGACGAAGUGCUACUGGGCUUUUUUCGGUUUUUCGAAAAUUUCUCAGUAGUAUAUAAAGGAUAAAAGGCGGAAUGCAUUUAAUAGAAAGGUGUUAAUUAAAUAAGUAUUGUAAUCGGACAAUGUACUAUACAAUUUUUCGGAAUCGAUAUUCAGAGUAUGUCAUUUCUAGACCUUUCUAGAAAACUAUAGGUUUAAUAUUAUGAUUACUAAACAAGCAGGAAAGGUGGUAUAAAUAUUAUUGUCAAUACAGAAAACAUUGAGAAAUAUUCUAGAUUAGAUAAAAUAAGUAAUCAUCAGUUUCAUCUAUUUAAUAUCAUGGUAUGCUGAUAUAAAAUAAACGAUAUUGAACUUGUCCUCCAAUUCUAGUUAAUAUAGAACAAACAUUCAUUAUUUAUACCUACCUAAUGUUUUAAGAGUACUUUUCCACCAGAAAUGUGCUAUGCUACGUUGCUGUGCUGUAUAAUAUGAUUGGUUAAAGUUCCGUUUCCACCAGUGCUAAGCUAUGUGUAUUCGUUGGUACACAUAGCUUGGAAUAAGCUGAGCUAUGUUUUUUUAUAUGGACAGAUGUGUGCUAUGGAUGGCAUCCCUAUCGAUACAUCGCAUACUCGAGCUGCGCAUCAUAUCACAUCUUCGUAGCACAGCUACAUAGCACAUCUCUGGUAGAAAAUCACCCUUAAGAAGCUUUAAAAUCUGGCAAUGGGUGUAUGGCAGGCACUCUGUAAAAUACUAACACCAAACCAAUCAGAAAAACGCCUAGACAAAAAUAAACCUUAUGUUAAUUAACAUAUAAGAUAAUUCUGUAUGAAAGUGCAUGUUGCAUCUUUUUAUAUUUUUGAUUAAAUAAUGUAAUUUU